rnacentral:rRNA from 1 species
AUUUAUCGGUAACGGAUGGGGAUGCGUGACAUUAGAUAGUAGGCGGGGUAACGGCCCACCUAGUCUACGAUGUCUAGGGGUUCUGAGAGGAAGGUCCCCCACACUGGAACUGAGACACGGUCCAGACUCCUACGGGAGGCAGCAGUGAGGAAUAUUGGUCAAUGGUCGGAAGACUGAACCAGCCAAGUAGCGUGAAGGAUGAAGGUUCUAUGGAUUGUAAACUUCUUUUAUACGGGAAUAAAGCCCGCUACGUGUAGCGGUUUGUAUGUACCGUAUGAAUAAGCAUCGGCUAACUCCGUGCCAGCAGCCGCGGUAAUACGGAGGAUGCGAGCGUUAUCCGGAUUUAUUGGGUUUAAAGGGAGCGUAGACGGGAUGUUAAGUCAGUUGUGAAAGGCUGCGGCUCAACCGCAGCACUGCAGUUGAUACUGGCGUCCUUGAGUGCGGUUGAGGUGUGUGGAAUUCGUGGUGUAGCGGUGAAAUGCUUAGAUAUCACGAAGAACUCCGAUUGCGAAGGCAGCACACUAAGCCGCAACUGACGUUGAUGCUCGAAAGUGUGGGUAUCAAACAGGAUUAGAUACCCUGGUAGUCCACACGGUAAACGAUGAAUACUCGCUGUUGGCGAUAGACUGUCAGCGGCCCAAGCGAAAGCAUUAAGUAUUCCACCUGGGGAGUACGCCGGCAACGGUGAAACUCAAAGGAAUUGACGGGGGCCCGCACAAGCGGAGGAACAUGUGGUUUAAUUCGAUGACACGCGAGGAACCUUACCCGGGCUCGAACGGCAGGGGAAUUGACCAGAGAUGGUCAAGUCUUCGGACUCCUGUCGAGGUGCUGCAUGGUUGUCGUCAGCUCGUGCUGUGAAGUGUCGGCUUAAGUGCCAUAACGAGCGCAACCCUUGCCGUCAGUUGCCAUCAGGUUAAGCUGGGGAUUCUGGGGGGACUCCCCCCCCAAGGUGUGAGGAGGGGGGGGAGGAGGUCAAAUCAGCACGGCCCUUACUUCGGGGGGGACACACGUGUUACAAUGGUGGGUACAGAGGGAAGUUACCUGGCGACAGGAUGCAGAUCUGGAAAACCCAUCCCAGUUCGGAUUGGAGUGUGCAACCCGACUCCAUGAAGUUGGAUUCGCUAGUAAUCGCGCAUCAGCCAUGGCGCGGAGAAUACGUUCCCGGGCCUUGCACUCACCGCCCGU